AAAAGUGAAAGACGGUCUUGCUGUCACUUAUAGAUGGAUCCGCGCUGCAUUAGCUAGUUGGUAAGGUAACGGCUUACCAAGGCAACGAUGCAUAGCCGACCUGAGAGGGUGAUCGGCCACACUGGAACUGAGACACGGUCCAGACUCCUACGGGAGGCAGCAGUAGGGAAUCUUCCGCAAUGGGCGAAAGCCUGACGGAGCAACGCCGCGUGAGUGAUGAAGGUCUUCGGAUCGUAAAACUCUGUUAUUAGGGAAGAACAUAUGUGUAAGUAACUGUGCACAUCUUGACGGUACCUAAUCAGAAAGCCACGGCUAACUACGUGCCAGCAGCCGCGGUAAUACGUAGGUGGCAAGCGUUAUCCGGAAUUAUUGGGCGUAAAGCGCGCGUAGGCGGUUUUUUAAGUCUGAUGUGAAAGCCCACGGCUCAACCGUGGAGGGUCAUUGGAAACUGGAAAACUUGAGUGCAGAAGAGGAAAGUGGAAUUCCAUGUGUAGCGGUGAAAUGCGCAGAGAUAUGGAGGAACACCAGUGGCGAAGGCGACUUUCUGGUCUGUAACUGACGCUGAUGUGCGAAAGCGUGGGGAUCAAACAGGAUUAGAUACCCUGGUAGUCCACGCCGUAAACGAUGAGUGCUAAGUGUUAGGGGGUUUCCGCCCCUUAGUGCUGCAGCUAACGCAUUAAGCACUCCGCCUGGGGAGUACGACCGCAAGGUUGAAACUCAAAGGAAUUGACGGGGACCCGCACAAGCGGUGGAGCAUGUGGUUUAAUUCGAAGCAACGCGAAGAACCUUACCAAAUCUUGACAUCCUUUGACAACUCUAGAGAUAGAGCUUUCCCCUUCGGGGGACAAAGUGACAGGUGGUGCAUGGUUGUCGUCAGCUCGUGUCGUGAGAUGUUGGGUUAAGUCCCGCAACGAGCGCAACCCUUAAGCUUAGUUGCCAUCAUUAAGUUGGGCACUCUAAGUUGACUGCCGGUGACAAACCGGAGGAAGGUGGGGAUGACGUCAAAUCAUCAUGCCCCUUAUGAUUUGGGCUACACACGUGCUACAAUGGACAAUACAAAGGGCAGCGAAACCGUGAGGUCAAGCAAAUCCCAUAAAGUUGUUCUCAGUUCGGAUUGUAGUCUGCAACUCGACUACAUGAAGCUGGAAUCGCUAGUAAUCGUAGAUCAGCAUGCUACGGUGAAUACGUUCCCGGGUCUUGUACACACCGCCCGUCACACCACGAGAGUUUGUAACACCCGAAGCCGGUGGAGUAACCUUUUAGGAGCUAGCCGUCGAAGGUGGGACAAAUGAUUGGGGUGAAGUCGUAACAAGGUAGCCGUAUCGGAAGGUGCGGCUGGAUCACCUCCUUUCUAAGGA
rnacentral:rRNA from 1 species